rnacentral:snoRNA from 1 species
ACUUGGGAGCCAGAGGUUGCAGUAAGCCGAGAUCGUGCCACUGCACUCCAGCCUGGACGACAGAGCUAUACUUCAUCUCAAAAACAAAAAAAAGGAUCCUCAGGGCUGCCAACUUUAUAGUAGAAGUCGAGGUGGUAGUGGAUUUCUCCUACACAA